GGGGCCGAUUAGGAUUCGACGCCGGGAACGAAACUUUAGGUGCAUGCCGAGUUGGUAACAGAACUCGUAAAUCCACUGUUGCGACUUUUAUAGUUGCCAAUGACGAAAACUACGGUGCUCAACUAGCUGCGUAAGCAGCCUAGCCGCACUUCUGGUAGCCUCGGCUCCAGCAAUCAUCAGGGGAUUCCUGUAAACCCAAAAUGAUUGUCAUAUAGAACAGGAUCGUCGCCUAGUACGUUGUGGACGAAGCGACUAAAACUUACGCAACUCGCCCAAAGCACCCUGCCAGUCGGGUCGCCACGGGUUAACUUAAUAGACAUGGCUACGCAUGUAGUACCGACAGCGGAGUACUGGCGGACGGGGGUUCAAAUCCCCCCGGCUCCACCA
rnacentral:tmRNA from 1 species